UCAUUUUGCAAUUGCACGGCUUUUGGUGGC
rnacentral:piRNA from 1 species